CCCUUAGAUGUUCUGGGCCGCACGCGCGCUACAAUGGCAGACUCAGCGAGUUACCUCUGUCGAAAGGCACAGGGAAUCUUUACAGUAUCUGCCGUGAUGGGGAUAGACCCUUGUAAUUUUUGGUCUUCAACGAGGAAUUCCUAGUAAACGCAAGUCAUUAACUUGCAUUGAUUACGUCCCUGCCCUUUGUACACACCGCCCGUCGCACCUACCGAUUGAAUGGUCCGGUGAAGUCCUCGGACCCAGUUGAACCUCGAGUUGAACAGGGAAAGUUGACUAAAGCUUACCAUUUAGAGGAAGGUGAAGUCGUAACA
rnacentral:rRNA from 1 species